AGCUUCACUACACGGUACAGCCCCAGAAGACGAAGGCAAAUGCUGUUGGAACAAACCCACAAACCUCCGAUGAUCAAGUAAAAUCUGACCAUCAGAUUCCUGCAUCCGGUCAAUUUUCCUCUUCAUGUUCGUGGCAUAGUCGUGUGCGAGCCUGUGCAACUGUUUAUUCUCAUGCUUGAGCCCUCUAAUCUCCUGUUUGAGACUCAUCACUUCAGCCGCCAACGAUUCAACUUGACGGGUUCGAGCAAAUAGGCGUUGGGCCAUGUUGGACACAGAACCCGCACACUGCACACUAAGGG
rnacentral:lncRNA from 1 species